GNAGGGGGCAAGCGUUAUCCGGACUUACUGGGUGUAAAGGGAGCGUAGGCGGCGGAGCAAGUCAGAAGUGAAAGCCCGGGGCUCAACCCCGGGACGGCUUUUGAAACUGCCUGCUUUGAUUUCAGGAGAGGUAAGCGGAAUUCCUAGUGUAGCGGUGAAAUGCGUAGAUAUUAGGAGGAACACCAGUGGCGAAGGCGGCUUACUGGACUGACAAUGACGCUGAGGCUCGAAAGCGUGGGGAGCAAACAGGAUUAGAUACCCCGGUAGUCCACGCCGUAAACGAUGAAUACUAGGUGUCGGGGCUCAUAAGAGCUUCGGUGCCGCAGCAAACGCAAUAAGUAUUCCACCUGGGGAGU
rnacentral:rRNA from 1 species